ACUUGGAAGAAACAAAUAAAGGGAAGGAACUUGUUUGUGUGGUGAAUUCCUGGGAGUUUGGAAAAUAGAGGCUGUAGGAAUGUGCCCUGGGAAAUUUUAAACCCACUCCAAAGCUGUGGGUUUGAACAGCAGCGGAUUUAGUCCCUGGAAGGCAUCGAUGGGGAGAGAUGCUGCCAAAAGAGGGGGAGGCCGCCAGCAGCUCCAGACGUGCAGCCCUGGCCCCAAGGUGAGGAUGCGGGAGGAUGCUCAGACCCAGCAAAAUACGUGUUGAGCUUUCCCUGGAAGUGCUCGGCAGUGCCCAAGCCCCUUCAGGCACCGAAUCCCCUGGGAAAGUGCAGAUUUGGGAGAUACAGGUGCGGCUGGACACCGAUACUCCUUAGAGAGGGACCUGCUUUCUGGAGAAGGUUGAGCACAUGCUUCUCUGCAAACCUCUGCCAGAAGCCAUGGAGCCACUAUCACAGUGUCAUGGACCAUAUCGCUGAAACCAUUCCUAGAGCAGCCCGUCAGCAAAGUAAUAUGUUGUGUGCAUCUGCCAUGCUUCAGAGAUGUGAGAGAACCUGCACAGUACCGUGAGCUGGGGCAGCAGGCCAAGCAGAGGACAACCUGGAGCAGCAGCACCAGGCUCAGCAGCUCUGCCCUGCUCAUGAAGACUCCGGUUCCUGUUGAGCUGAAACCCCAGUGACAACCUCAACUGUAAAGAAAACUGAUGGUUUAUGGUCUCACCUCAAACACAUCACGGUUUUUCUACUGUGUGAUCCAGUCCUGUUUGGACCUGUCUGCCUACUAAUGUUUUGCAGGGUCAUUUAACCCCUCCUGACUCUGUACCCCACAUUUUUCCUGUGAAAAGCAGCAAAUGUUCAUCUCUGCACCUGACUUCAAACGUAAGAAGUGCUCACCUCUCCAAAGCAAGAUCUUUCAAAUGCAACUUCUGCAAUGUUCAAGCUGGAGUUAUCUCCAAAUGGAAGUCCUGGUAUUAACAGUUGCAAAGCUGAUCAACAGCUGAGUGACGGAGCCAGCCUGGAAACCCCAUACACCAUCCCUAGUGGGUGGCAUCAGACCUGGGUGAUCUAGACACUGAUGUAGAUGGAAGACCUCAAAAGCUGAAGCAGGAGGGGAACAACAGAGCCUUGGCCCCAGUCACUGGUCCAGAGCAUCUCUCCUGGGACACCGAUGGGCACAGCUCUCACACAUGGCACACAGGUGACCUGUCUUAAGUCCAGGUGGGAUUUAGUGACCCUGAGGUCACAGGAGCUCAGAUGUCCCCUGCGGAUCUCUUGAAUUCUCAUAAAGAACUGUUGGGUUAAGUUAGUGAAUCCAUGAUAAGAGCCCUCCUUUAUAUCUCUCAAUCCUGUUUAUUUGCUUCCCAUCUUAUGGAAGUGCAUCCCUACCUUUAACUGGGAAUCGGAAAGAUAACUACUGCUAGUGGGGGAAUAAUGUUGCAUUAACUGCUCAAAACACCUGGGAGAAGCUGUUUAGAUCACAUGUUUUCAAUGUGAAGGGUGGUUCAGCUCUGUGAAUUUGUAGUAAAUCAGCACGUCAUAAUAAGAACAAAUGUUUCAUUCUCACUUAAAAAUUACUAUGGUUAGAGACUUGUAAUGUGUAGUUUUCAUGCAGGGUUUACAUGACGGGAACUUAAAUCUGUUCCAUUUUCAUCUAUAAUUUAAAACGUGUCAUUUUGAUCGAUGAAUUAGUAAAAGAACCCAGGAUAAUUUUGAAACUACCAGCUUAGUAAAGUUGUCUGACCUUGCAAAUAACCUUUCCAGUUUAGAAGCCUUUAAUAGCUUAACUAUUAGCUAAUCUCCUGGGAAACAUUUUCCCUGGGCAAAACUAGUAUGGAAAUAUAACACCAGUAAUAAGGUUUCCAUCUUUCUCCUAUCUUGAUCUUUUUAAUUAAUUGCCACUCAGUAAAAACAUAAGACUGGGAGGCAGGGGAUAAAAAUCCUUGCAAGGGGAGGGCAGGAGUUAACUGUGGGCUACUUCUAUCCUUUACCUGCCUUUUUUGCAUAGAUUCAUUAGGUGCUGAAAUAUAUUAGCAAUUGUUAAGGCAAAACUGCUGCUUGAUUGCCUGACACUUUUGGCUGAAAGCUGUGAAAUAGAUCACUUUGUAAUGGAAAAAAGCUGCUCCUGCUUAUAACGAGCAAACAUUAAAAAACCCUGAAUGCUUUGCAGGGCACUUCAACAAGCCCCCGGGAGUUUUUGUGUUACGGUUUUGUUGUAGUCGGCGCUUGAGUUUUGCGGGUUGUUUCCUUCUGGGGAAGGGCAGUGUUUUUUCCAAAGACUGCAAAUAAGCGAUUUGUUAAAGGAAAAACAAGGACUUGUGUAUAAGUGAAGAGGACAGGGUGGAAAUUCGUUGCCCAGGUGAAAUGUGGACUAGUAUCUAGCUUUCUAAGCAUCCUACUUGGUUUAUUUUUCCAAAGUUUUAGUGUCAUUUUAUCUAAUGGCCCUCCAAUACAAGCAUUAUGUUGAAUUUAUGAGAGGUUCUCCCUAUUGCUUUAUUUGGCUGAUAAAGGGGUUCUCAUUUUACUAUAUGUGCAUUUUGUGCUAUGUUCUUCUGUGCUGCCUGCAGAAAAAUAAAAAAUCUGUUUCCUAGGCUAGGAGUGUGUGACCUGUACAUUGCUUGAGCUCUCUGGCAGCUCAUCUCCAGGUUCAGCUCAUGUCCUUUUUUUGUUUUUAAUUUGUGUGAGAGAAGAGCUUGGUGAGGCCUUCACUUACUUGCAAGCUUUCUGCAUCUUUUGCUGGGCCACAGAUCAUCCACCGUGCAGGUGAAGCCACAGUUUCUGUAGCAAUAACAUAGCUCCUGGAUGAAGAUACACAGAGUUUUGCUGCAAGGGUAUGGUGCCACAGGGGCUUCCCACAGGCUUAUCUUCAGCUGCUGAAGUUUAUUUUGCAGGUCCGCACUUCAAGCACUUUGGCUGAAUGUGUGAAGUGCAAACUUCUGAUGCAGUCCCUGGACCCCUCCAGCACACGUGAUAGAGGCUCUUCGCUUGUGCCCAUUGAACCCAACCCCUUCCCCAUUGCAGGUCCCUGUUACCCCACUCCAUGAGCCACCUGCUGUGUGUUUCAACCUUCUGGGGUCUCCCCACCGAACCAUGAGUCUCCCAUACCAAAAUCCUGUCUUCUUGGUCUCUUUCACUACCGUAAUUCAUCCCUGAUGAUGCACAAGCAGCAAUCCAAGGAAGAGCUUCCUAGUGAGAUGAAGAAUCCGUUUCAAGACUUAUACCUGGAUAUUCAAUCAAAACUUUGGCCUCUGCUCCCCUGCCACGGUGCCGUGUUGAGCAACAGAUGCACAGUGCCUCCAUGGGAGGUUUCUCUGGGGGACGGGGGGAACAGUCCAAAGGGACACCAAGUCUUCCCUGGGCCAUGCUGGGAGCUCCUCGGGCUCCGGCAUGUGUAUAUCAGCUGAUGACAGAAAUGGUCUUUAGCAUCAUGACUGCAGUACUUGUUUAAGCACAGAAUUGCUUUAAGGUGGCUUUGUCUGGGGCCAAAGUGGUGAUUCAGGGUGAGGUUACCUUACGAUGGAUUUUGGAGAAUUGUCAUGCUAAGCUGAUGUCAACGCUGCCAUACUUUUUAUUAAACAACAGAGUAAAACGAAAGCAGAGGGCCAGAUUCUGAUGUCAUUUUUGCUAGUAAAACAAGACAUAAGUCAAUGGGUAAUAAACUCGCCACUGGAGAACCACAGUGCUGUGCCAUGUAAUUAUGGUUGGCCCCAUAAAAAUCAGUGGAGGUGGGAAUGGAAGAGAGCUGCCACCUUAGAGAAAAGGAAAUUAGGAACUCUAAUAGUAGGAGAAAGCAGGAUGAAUAAUGAACAACCGGAUCCAACUCCCUGGUUUGGUACAUUCAAAAGCGUUAGAUUAAUUGUUUUUUUUUUUUUCCUUAAUACACCAUCACUUGCUGUCUACAUUUGCCAGGGGAGAACAGCCACUGGAAGUUUCCCGGUUCAACGUGGUGCAAUUAUACCAAGAUAUUGUUGUGCAAGGAUGCAGACACAGGGAGCCCUUGUUUCCUGAUAGGGCUGAAUGUGGAAACACUGAGCAACUUGCAAGCAUCUUAGCAGAGCUGUAAGAUAUUGAUGGAGUACUAGUGUGUAACCAAAGAGCCCAUAAAGCAGAAACAACAAAAGAGCAAUUACAAAGAGCAACAAAUAUUAUCUCUGUGAAUCUGCUCUGCACACUUUACAGCAGGGAGAGCUCAACUAAAGUUUUACAAAACAGCCUGGCAGCUAUGCUAUUUAUAUGUUCAACACCAAGCUUUCAUUAGUUUUAAUGUGUGUUAAUGGACACCUCAUAUUAUUUUGGGAGGCUAAAUGUGAGAUUUAUUUAAUUUCCUUAAAUAUCAAAUAUGGGUCAAGCAAAAUAAAUCAAGGCUCAUAUUUUUUUUAAGAAAAAAAAGUGUCAGUUUAACAGAAUUCAGACAAAGCAAUGCCUGAUCAUAUUUACAGCUUUUAUAGGUUUGGAAAUCUCCGAAGAAAUCUGAGGAAACCUAAAGCCUGCCUGAGUACAUUGAGUGAAAUUCCUCUUGGUAAUGCAUAAAUAUUCCACAUGUCUUUACAAGAAAACCCCUUAAACUGCAUGUAAAUAUUCCACAAUCUUUUAGAAAAUCUCCAAUUCAAAGGUGAUGCUCAAAACUGGCUCUUUUUUUAAAUUUAUUUUUUUUAAAUGCCAUUUGCAGAUCCUAUCAGUUCCAUCAGAUUUCUUCCUUUUCCUAAAAACAUCAGUGUUUCCAAACUGCCAUAUAAAGGCUUUCGAAACAGAGGCCUUGUGUUGUUUAAAAAAAGUUCUCAAAUAUGAACUACACACACCUAAAUAAAAUUGCAGCUACAAACAAACCUCUCACCUCAUCUUGUUCCUUAGGAUUUAAUGGAAAACUGGCAUAAAGCAUGGCAACAGAAAAAAUACCUGCCACAAAAAGUAAAUCUGUCAUACUUGGGAAAAUCCAUUCAUCAAAGAAGGGAAAAAUACAUUGAAAUCGUGAGAAGUUUAUAGAAUAAAUCUGUAACUGAUUUGGCUCUAAUAUUUAAUCUCUUUCUGCUACUUUGUAGUGUGAUAUUGUGUUUCCCCUGCAUAACUUGAACAUGACAAUGGGUUUUUAAUAGCAAAUCUAUAACUUAAUCAGGAUAUUACUGGUAUGGUAGGAGAAAGCCAGCGUCUUCCAAGUGUUUCUGAUUCUGGUCAGAAGGACAGAUGCCUGGGGUGGUAAAUCAGACACAGUUUGACUGGUAACACAUGACUUUGUAGAAGCGCCAUUGAUUUACAGCAGUGGAGAGCCUGGCUCUAAUCUGCACUGGAAAAGGCACCUUCAAAGCAAAACCAGCCCUGUACACACGGGUUCCAGUUCAACACAACCCUGUUUUGUCCUGAGAGCCAGGAUCUGGGAUCACAGGUUAGCACUGAACAAGAAAAAGUGCCAGGAGAAACACUCUCAGCUUCGUUCCUUUAACACAACAAAAACCGCGACCUCGUGCGCCGUGCCGGCGAUGCUGAGCUUGCUGACAUGCCAGGCUUCAAAGGAGAGCGUGCGGUGGCAGUGAAGGACCUGACCUUGCCAAGAGGUUUAUUUAUCGGCGUGAACCCAUGCCCUCCUCCAGUCCAGUGGCCAACAGAGCCAAACAGCUUCUGUUCAAGCCCGUGAACUGUAGGAAACCAGAGAGUUCAUGGGAGGGCUCCAGCACCCAUCCAGAGAUUUGACUGUCCUCAGUGACAGCAUGAUGAACUCAGGCAUGAGGUGUUGGCCCUUUGAAGAAGUAAUUAUGCUGCUAGUCAAGAAAAAAAUAGCUCUGGAUUGUGCCGUGCAUGUUUACACAAUGCCAAAGAGAUGAGCAGGCGCUCCUUGGAAUGGGUGCCACAACAGGGAGGACAUAUUUCAAAGAGUUAUUUAUUCCCCGGAGAUCCUGAAAGAAUGUUUGUUGGAUCAUGGAGAACAGUGGAAGCUCCUGAAAUCCAGGAUGCCAUAACUUGAAGGAGAAGCAGGCAGCAAAAGAUUUAUCUCUCUGGGCUACUAGGAGCCUGUCACUGCUUCAAGUGCCGUAAUCACCAUUUCGUAAUUACCGUGACUCCCCAGUGGCAGUCUCCUUUGUGACAACCCUGAUGGUGAUUAUUUAUGUCAUAUAAACAACAUAUGUUGGCAUAAUCGUCUUUCCCCACUUCUUAAUUCACCAGUUUCUCAAUGAGCUUUGCAAAGGCAAAGGGAAUGGGAAGGAAAAUGUUCUGCGCUGAGCAAGCUAAGGGUUUUAUCUGAGAUGUCACCUUCCUCUCCACUGAGAAAAAGCGAGAGUCUCUGCAUGCCACUGUGCUGCUGGGUACCUGAGGAAGCCCUUGUCUGGCCUCAUCUCUUAGGAUGCAGUUGGCUCUCAGUGCUCCUCAGGACGUCACUUGGCACAAAAGCAGUAAAAAAGUGCUUAUGUGGCUAUUUCUAUAAUAAACUACCUUUUGCCUUCCUGUGCAUCGUGCUUGCUCCAAAAUGAACGUCUCUCCUGUGCCAGCCCCAUGCCUGCAUCUUGUUCCUCUACCCCUCUUGUUUUGUCUGCUCUCUCUGUGAUAAUCGCCUCCGUUUGUACACUGCAUUGUUUUAAUUCCAGCCACCACUGAGAUAAGACUAUCAGUGUAUCACAACUUAUGUUUAGGAUAAUCUGCUGCGUGCUCUUGUGAAAGGCACACUCUGCAACACCAGUGCUGGAUGUACCAGAAGGAUGCUCAGCAGCCAUGGCCUUGCUGUACAACCUGAAGCUAUUUUCCUAUUUGAAACCCUCUGUCUGCUUUGUUUUGAGAGUAGCCUGACUUUUAAUACAGAUAGAUGGAGCGCUAAGCAUGAGGGUGGACCUUGACUGAAUCUCUGCUAGCUACUGUAAUAUAAAUUGCAUUGUAAUGUACAAUAUGUUGUCUUACAUCCAAGUUAUAGGCAAAUAUUUGUGUAGAGAUAAGCUGACAUUUUGACAUGCACUCUAAUUUCCAAUAAAACCUCUCAUAAAGAAUUACAAAGUGAAUUUAUUGCUUCACUUCAAAGCAAGGACAUGGUGCCACUUUAAAGGGGUAUUUGAACUGUUAAAUCAAUUUCUAUGAUGCUUUAGUAUAUUUUCUGUACUUUUUUUUUAAGUUAUUUUAAUAUUAUUUUGCCACUCUGUUAAAAGGCCAUAAAAUAUUUUAAAGAGCAAUAAAAGUAAACACAAAUGCUAAAAAGCCCAUUCUUCUCUCUUCAACCCACUGAGAGAGGAAGAGACAGAGGAUUUAGGCAUAACAAAAUUCAUGGCAGCUGUGUAAAUAAAAUAAAAGAGCACACUGUUUUUCUGUU